CAUGCCCCACUGCUGACCUUCCAGCUCCAUCUUCGAGUUGUAGAGUUUGUAGGGAAGGGAAAUCAGAGGAAUUAGUAAAAAUUAUUGUUUUUAAUAAAUUAAAUUGUUUGUUGAACUGUUGUACAUAAUUUUUGAAGAAUUGUAAGAAUAUUUCCUUUGAUAUUUCAGAUGGUCAAAUAAAAAAAAUGUUCCUAAACUUGGUGAUAUGAAUUCAUCAUUUGAAGAUGUAGAUAUAUUUUAUUCUUUCUGGUAUAAUUUUGAUUCUUGGAGAGAAUUUUCUUAUUUAGAUGAAGAAGAAAAAGAAAAAGCAGAAUGUCGUGAUGAGAGGAGAUGGAUUGAAAAGCAGAACAGAGCAACAAGAGCACAAAGAAAA
rnacentral:ncRNA from 2 species